AUUGAACGCUGGCGGCAUGCUUUACACAUGCAAGUCGAACGGUAACAGGCCGCGAGGUGCUGACGAGUGGCGAACGGGUGAGUAGUGCGUCGGAACGUGCCGAGUAGUGGGGGAUAACGCAGCGAAAGUUGUGCUAAUACCGCAUACGUACUGAGGUAGAAAGUGGGGGACCUUCGGGCCUCACGCUAUUCGAGCGGCCGACGUCUGAUUAGCUAGUAGGUGAGGUAAAGGCUCACCUAGGCGACGAUCAGUAGCGGGUCUGAGAGGAUGAUCCGCCACACUGGGACUGAGACACGGCCCAGACUCCUACGGGAGGCAGCAGUGGGGAAUUUUGGACAAUGGGCGAAAGCCUGAUCCAGCCAUGCCGCGUGUCUGAAGAAGGCCUUCGGGUUGUAAAGGACUUUUGUCGGGGAGGAAAUCCCCAGCGUUAAUACCGCUGGGGGAUGACAGUACCUGAAGAAUAAGCACCGGCUAACUACGUGCCAGCCGCCGCGGUAAUAC
rnacentral:rRNA from 1 species